UACCAGACUCCUACGGGAGGCAGCAGUGGGGAAUAUUGCACAAUGGGGGAAACCCUGAUGCAGCGACGCCGCGUGAGCGAUGAAGUAUUUCGGUAUGUAAAGCUCUAUCAGCAGGGAAGAAGAUGACGGUACCUGACUAAGAAGCCCCGGCUAACUACGUGCCAGCAGCCGCGGUAAUACGUAGGGGGCAAGCGUUAUCCGGAUUUACUGGGUGUAAAGGGAGCGUAGACGGCGAUGCAAGCCGGAUGUGAAAGCCCGGGGCUCAACCCCGGGACUGCAUUUGGAACUGUGUGGCUGGAGUGUCGGAGAGGCAGGCGGAAUUCCUAGUGUAGCGGUGAAAUGCGUAGAUAUUAGGAGGAACACCAGUGGCGAAGGCGGCCUGCUGGACGAUGACUGACGUUGAGGCUCGAAAGCGUGGGGAGCAAACAGGAUUAGAUACCCGGGUAAA
rnacentral:rRNA from 1 species